rnacentral:tRNA from 1 species
GCCUGGGUGGCUCAGUCGGUUGAGCAUCUGACUUUGGUUCAGGUCAUGAUCUCAUGGUUCCUGGGUUCCUGGGUUUGAGCCCUACCUCGGGCU